UACGUAGGGGGCAAGCGUUGUCCGGAAUCAUUGGGCGUAAAGAGCGUGUAGGCGGCCCGGUAAGUCCGCUGUGAAAGUCUAGGGCUCAACCCUGGAAUGCCGGUGGAAACUGUCGGGCUAGAGUCCGGAAGAGGCGAGUGGAAUUUUCUGGUGUAGCGGUGAAAUGCGCAGAUAUCAGGAAGAACACCCGUGGCGAAGGCGGCUCUCUGGGACGGUACUGACGCUGAGACGCGAAAGCGUGGGGAGCGAACAGG
rnacentral:rRNA from 1 species